GUUCUCAUACGAUCACUGAAGUUAAGCAAUGUUGAGUCUCGUUAGUAACUUGAUGGGUGACCUCUUGGGAAUACCAGUUGCUGUAAG